rnacentral:rRNA from 1 species
CCUACGGGAGGCAGCAGUGGGGAAUAUUGGGCAAUGGGCGCAAGCCUGACCCAGCCACGCCGCGUGAAGGAAGAAGGCUUUCGGGUUGUAAACUUCUUUUCUGGGGGACGAACAAAUGACGGUACCCCAGGAAUAAGCCACGGCUAACUAGGUGCCAGCAGCCGCGGUAAUACGUAGGUGGCAAGCGUUAUCCGGAUUUAUUGGGUGUAAAGGGCGUGUAGGCGGGAAUGCAGGUCAGAGGUGAAAACUAAGGGCUCAACCCUGAGACUGCAUUUGAAACUGUGUUUCUUGAGUGCUGGAGAGGCAGUCGGAAUGCCGGGUGUAGCGGUGAAAUGCAUAGAUAUACGGAAGAACACCAGUGGCGAAGGCGGAUUGCUGGACAGUAACGGACGCUGAGGCGCGAAAGCGUGGGGAGCAAACAGGAUUAGAUACCCCAGUAGUC